GGACCCGCACAAGCGGUGGAGCAUGUGGUUUAAUUCGAUGCAACGCGAAGAACCUUACCUGGUCUUGACAUCCUGCGAACUUUCUAGAAAUAGAUUGUGCCUUCGGAACGCAGUGACAGGUGCUGCAUGGCUGUCGUCAGCUCGUGUCGUGAGAUGUUGGGUUAAGUCCCGUAACGAGCGCAACCCCUAUCCUUAUUUGCCAGCACAUCAUGGUGGGAACUAUAAGGAGACUGCCGGUGAUAAACCGGAGGAAGGCGGGGACGACGUCAAGUCAUCAUGGCCCUUACGACCAGGGCUACACACGUGCUACAAUGGGAAGGACAAAGAGCCGCGAAGCCGCGAGGUGUAGCUAAUCCGAGAAAGCCGGUCGUAGUCCGGAUUGGGGUCUGCAACUCGACCCCAUG
rnacentral:rRNA from 1 species